rnacentral:rRNA from 1 species
GACGAACGCUGGCGGCGUACCUAAUACAUGCAAGUCGAGCGGACUUUCAAGAAGCUUGCUUUUUGAAAGUUAGCGGCGGACGGGUGAGAAACACGUGGGCAACCUGCCUGUAAGACGGGGAUAACUCCGGGAAACCGGGGCUAAUACCGGAUAAUAUCUUUCUUCGCAUGAAGGAAGGUUGAAAGGCGGCGCAAGCUGCCGCUUGCAGAUGGGCCCGCGGCGCAUUAGCGAGUUGGUGAGGUAACGGCUCACCAAGGCGACGAUGCGUAGCCGACCUGGGAGGGUGAUCGGCCACACUGGGACUGAGACACGGCCCAGACUCCUACGGGAGGCAGCAGUAGGGAAUCUUCCGCAAUGGACGAAAGUCUGACGGAGCAACGCCGCGUGAGCGAAGAAGGUCUUCGGAUCGUAAAGCUCUGUUGUCAGGGAAGAACAAGUACCGUUCGAAUAGGGCGGUACCUUGACGGUACCUGACCAGAAAGCCACAGCUAACUACGUGCCAGCCGCCGCCGUAA